CGAGGGGCAUCGGGAGGGAAGCUUGCUUUCCUUGCCGGCGACCGGCGCACGGGUGAGUAACACGUAUGCAACCUGCCCUCUUCAGGGGGACAACCUUCCGAAAGGGAGGCUAAUCCCGCGUAUAUCGGUUUCGGGCAUCCGAGAUCGAGGAAAGAUUCAUCGGAAGAGGAUGGGCAUGCGGCGCAUUAGCUAGACGGCGGGGUAACGGCCCACCGUGGCGACGAUGCGUAGGGGUUCUGAGAGGAAGGUCCCCCACACUGGUACUGAGACACGGACCAGACUCCUACGGGAGGCAGCAGUGAGGAAUAUUGGUCAAUGGGAGAGAUCCUGAACCAGCCAAGCCGCGUGAGGGAAGACGGCCCUAUGGGUUGUAAACCUCUUUUGUCGGAGAACAAAACCCGGGACGUGUCCCGGACUGCGUGUAUCCGAAGAAAAAGCAUCGGCUAACUCCGUGCCAGCAGCCGCGGUAAUACGGAGGAUGCGAGCGUUAUCCGGAUUUAUUGGGUUUAAAGGGUGCGUAGGCGGUCCGUUAAGUCAGCGGUAAAAUUGCGGGGCUCAACCCCGUCGAGCCGUUGAAACUGGCAGACUUGAGUUGGCGAGAAGUAACGCGGAAAUGCGCGGUGUAGCGGUGA
rnacentral:rRNA from 1 species